rnacentral:lncRNA from 1 species
UGCAAUACUAUAAGUGAUAUUGGGUUGGCAUAGAAAACAUGUCACCGAGAAUCUCAAGUUAAUUCCUAAAACCCCAAAACAAAAAAAGAGACAAAAUAGGAGAGUAUUCAAUAUAUCACAAAAAGGAAGAUUUUCCAAAGGAGCUCUCGUGUCUUGGAAUUGUGGUGUCCCAAAAUAAGAAAGAGACUGAACAAGAAAACUCAACACUACGCAAAAGGGAGAGAAUUCCCUAAAUGAGUUUACGUCUCUGGUGAUAGAAGUGCCACACCAACUGCCAUGCGCGCCAAACCCUCUAUUUAUAGGAGAAAUUCUUCCAUGUGAAAGCCUUCGAACGAAUAGUAUUUGAAUGGAAAUGGCUGCUACGAAUUUGACUAAUAAAACAUACAACUCAAUAGUUGGGGUAUAUGCUAGGACGCUAAAUAGGUAAAAAAAAAAAUGUCCAUGUAGCUCUCAAAAUUUGACAGCACCAUAAAUGAUUUCACAUGGAUGUCAAAGACAUAUUUUAACACUUUUAUUAUUUAUUUUUUCCCAUCCUCCCGGAUGGAGUUCUUAUUAAGAUAGUCGAAUGAACCAGAAGUACAUAAAGAAACAGAGACCACCACGUACGUAUAUGGUCUGAAAUAAAACUAAAUAUCUGUUAUUGGCUUUCUUAAUUAUUGGUUUUCACUUUAUUAUUCAAACUUCCCAUCCUCCUCAGCAUCGCCUUAUGGUAAUAUUGGCCAUUGUAACCGUAUAAUUCCUUGCUGGUAUUUGUCGAACUGCCAGAAAGGUUGCAUAUCCACGAACAUACCUAAAUAUUUUGGUGCCAGAAAGUACUGAAAAUUCAGUCACCGAAGUAUUUUGUAUGCUAUAUCCUAGUCCUUGGAAUUCCAAAGUGCUACCGUUGUAUUGUCCGUCGGUGAACAUGAAGGAAAAUGGGUCAAAUGAGUAAAGUCCAUCACGGGAUGAAGCUACAUAAAGGCCUUGGCUUCGACCAACAGUUGGAGAAUUGAUGCUGAUGCUUUCUGUAAAGGGAGAAUCAUUAACAUAAAUGGUUCCAAAUUCGGUGGGAGUUCUCGGCCUACCAGGGGCGCCGGCAACUGCGACAGUGGUGGCAUUUGGUCCGCCUGAAAACAGUUGAAGGUACACAGUAAUCUUUGUUUCCUUUCCACCGCAGCAAUAAUCACGGUCACGAUGAUUAGCUUCUGAACAAACAAAGAUUGCUACUAAUAGCAAAAGGGAAAUUUGGAUGGAUGUUAAAGCUGAACCUUUUGCCAUUUUGUAUGUUGAAAGGCUUGCUGAAAAACAAAGAAGGAAGAAACAAAUUAGUUAGAUGGUGAAGAUAAUUUGUUCAAUGACCAUAUUUAUAGGAUGGAGUCAAGGAGUUAGGUAUAGCACAAAAAGUUUUAAAAGACAAUUAAACAUCAAUGGGUGGCCAUCUAUCACAAUAGGUUUGUGUAGAAUGGUGUGGUGUAAUCAGCAUAUAUACAUUCAUAGUUCAUAGCCAAGAAUUUCUUUUCAUAUAUAAUGGGAUAAUGGAAAACCUUGUUAACAUGAAACACAUUUACCUAACAAAAAUGAAACACAUUUAAUAAGGUUCUGGAAAAGGAUUAACUCCACUUUGCAUUUUCAAACUUGUACCACUUUAACAAGGUUCCGAACUUGUGCUUAGCAGAUAAAUCAAUGUCGACUUUUGAUUUUUCUGCAUAUAAAUGGUUUAAAUGAAAUGAGAUUACAUUUCUGAGAGUUAGGUAGAGCAUAAAAAGUUUUAAGAGAGAAUUAAAAAUCAAUGGGUGGCCACCUAUCACAAUAGGUUUGAGUAGAAUGGUGCGAUAUACUCAGUAGAUAUAUCAUUCAAAGUUGAUAGCCAAGAAUUUCUUUUAGGGAUGGCAACUAGGUCGGAUGAUCACGGGCUAAUGGGCCGGGGAGGGGAUUUUUUCCGCCGUUAAAAAAUGGGGCAGGGGGCAAGGGAGUAAACCCCCGCCUCACCACCCAUUAAAAAAAUUAAAUCUAUAUAUGUAUAUAUUCAUAUAUAAUAUUUAAUUUAAUUUGUUACAAAUAUAUAAUAAUGAUAUUAUUAGUUAUAAAUAUUAUAUAAUGCAUAUUAGUAUUUGUAAUAUAAAUGAUUAGUAUUUGUAAUAUAGUUGAUAUUAUCAAAUACUAAUAAUAGUACAUGUCUACUAAUAGAAAUUAUUAAUUAGUUAUAUUAAAUCUACUAAUACAAUUAUACUAAAUUCGUAAUUACACUUAACACAAUAACACUUUUUUCUCAGAAAAAAAAAACACAAUAAUGACUUAAUGAUUGUAGUUUUCUCAAAAGCGAAAACUUGACUAUUUUAGUUAUAUUUGUUUCAUCAUGUUGGAUUGUAUUCAAAUAACUUUUGUUUAAUUGUUUUUUAUGGGUUUCAAUUAUGAAAUUACAAUGGAUAAUGACUUGGUCAUAUGUUGGCAUUUAAGUAUUUGAUUCUUUGCUCAAAUUUGACUACAAUGAAAUUAUAUAACAAAUUUUUAUUAGCCCGACGGGUGCUUCCGUGGGGGUAGCGGGGACGGGUAGGAGGACUGAGGGGCAAGGGAAAUUCCCCCCGCCCUACUGCCAUUCCUAAUUUCUUUUGCUAUAUAGUGUAAUACUGGAAAACCUUGAAAACCUGAAACACAUUUACCCCAAAAAAAUGAAAUACAGUUUACAAGGUUCUGGAAAAUGAUUAACUCAACUUUGCAUCUUUGAAUUUGUACCACUUUAACAGGAUUCCAAACUUAUACUCAGCAGAUAAAUCGAACUUGACUUUUGAUUUUUCUAUAGAUGAAUGGUUUAAAUGAAAUAGGAUUGCAUUUCAAAGAGUCAGGUAGAGAUUAAAAGGUUUUAAAAGAGAAUUAAACCUCAAUGGGUGGCCACUUAUCACAGUAGGUUUGUGUAGAAUGGUGUGGUAUAUGUGACAGCCCCACUUUCCCCUAAGGCGAACCAAAGGGGUUAGCGGGCUGCCUGCCUAUCUCUCGCCAGGACUAACGGUGCAGUUUAAAGCGAUCUAUUGCGUUCCGGAACUUAUAACGCGCGUAAACAAGUCAAAAUGUCCAAAAUAACCCAAAGUAAAAAAAUGAAAUCCGGAGUCGGCCAUGAAUAGUAACCGACCCGUCAGAACCCAGUCAAACAUCAAAAUACAUAUACAACAUAACAUUUAGUAUUUACAAGCCAAAAUGGCAUACAAAAGUGAUACAAAAGUUACUACAUGUAUGGUUUGCCAAAAUCCAAAGUGAAACGGCCCUAAAGGUACAUUUAGGGUUUCGAUUCAUAAGCUAUACAAAAGAGACAUUCAUUUAGCUCAUUCGGCAACCAACUAGCAAGAAUCAUUCCAAAAGUAGUCAUAUGCCUGUAAGGAAAACAAAAGGAACGGUGUGAGCUAAUUGCCCAGUAAGAUACUAUCACUUAAGCAACCAAGAUCACAUAAGCAUAACCUUCAUUCCAAUUACUUUAUUAAGAAGUAAAACAAAUCGGUAAAAGGAUACGGACGGCUCUCAAGAGCCCAUUUCCACGCUUACAUUCUUGAUCGAACCUCAUUGACCCUCCGUCAAUGUUUAAGAAUAACCAACCGUAGACUUCACUUCACUUCCAUUCUUUCCACCCAACAUACCCCUACCGGGCCCGCACUCCAAACAGUAGCCAUUUGGUAAUACUCGAGUAUACCGGAAUCGAGAGUCUCACUACUACAAGAUUCCAUAUAACAGUCCCCAUGGCUCGUCAAUUUUCACGACCAAGCCCUCGCCGGCUCGAUUCAAUUGACUACCAACGGGGUUGAGCUCAGUAGUAACAGUAAGGCCGUUGGAUACUCGUCCAAACGACACCAAAUCAGUUUUCCAUGAAUGGAAUUUAGUAUUUCAUGUAUCAUUCAGUCAUUACAGUGAAACAGUAGACAAUCCUCAACAAUAUCAAAGGAUGUGAGGGCGAUCAAGUACACCCUCACUUUAAUCAGUUUCAACAGUGCAAAUAAGCCUUCAAGGCGUUAAUUUCAAUAUAAUAAAGCCACAUUGUAAACAAACAAGUGAGUAGUAUACUCACAUAGCAAGCAAGUGGAAUAUCGUGAACUUCUGCCCAAAAGGCGUCUUUAAUUACCGUCACGCCCUAAAACAUGCAAACAAGUACAAUGAGACUCGAUAACGAGUCAUAAACCAAUGCCAAAUACUCCCAAAAUAGGGUUCCAUACGCAUACAUAAGCAUUAGAGGAAAUCAGAAAAAUCCGGAAAUGCAAUUGGACUUCAAUUAAAAAAACAGUUUUUGACGUCAUUAUGCGGUUUUAGCACCAACGGCACUACAAUUAUCGGAUGGGGGUGUAAGACCCACCGUUUCGAAGCUAAGAGACAGGGAUACAAUGUUUCAGAAGGCAAUUUUGUCCAGUUUUGAGUGUAACAAGGUCAAAAAUGCAAGAUACUAUACCAGAACCGGAAAAACAGAUUCACAAAACGCAUUCUGCUGUAAACAGCAUAACUCAGCCUAAUUAAGCCCAAAUCCAGAAAUUCCAAAACCAUCUGAAAGCUAAGAAACAGGGAUAAAUUUCAUCAUAAGGCCUCAACAACCAAUUAGGAAGCAAUUCCAGCCAAAACAACCAAUUACAGGCGCAAUUCUUACAUUCGGGUAAAACCAGAACAGCAAUAGUAAUUUCGACUUUUCUCAUUCUACACUACUCCGAUUGACCUGAAAUUUUGUAGGCACCUCUAAAAUGUCAUUCCCUACAACUUUCAUGUUUUAAACCAAGGCCAAUUCGGCCUCUAACUAGGAGCUAAAAAUUCGGGCAGAAUGCUCCCUCAAGAACCCUAAUUUUCUGAAAUUUCUUCCAAACCAGAAAUUGGUUGCAAUUAAUCAUUUUUUCCACCUCCUAGAGUCAUUAUAUACCAUUUCUAAUCAUCAUAGAUAGCCACACAAUCAUGCUCAUAUUAAAACAGAAAAAAAUCUCCAAAAAUAAUAAAACUUCAUCACUUCAACCACAAAUCAAGAAAUAACCCAUAAACUUGCAUCUCAUACUACCACUAAGCAUGAUUUAAGCAUCAAUUAAGGGAGGAGGGUGGUUCUUCACAACUUACCUUAAAACAAGAGAGAGAGAGCUAUUGGACACCUUAACUUUCCAAAUAACUUCACACAACAACUCACCAACACCUCCUUAAGUGGUUUUAUGGAGCAAAAUCAAGGUUGGAUGGUUGGUUUUGAUGAUUUGGAACAAACUUGAAGAGUUUUCUUCCUUGUGCUUAGAGUAAGAGAGAGAGAAAGAGAGAAUGAGAGGGCCGGCCACCAUGGAGGAUUUUUUGAUGAUUUUUGGGUAAUUUUUAAGCUAUUUUAACCAAAUUGGUAAAAGGGUGAAUAGUGUUCAAAAAGGUCAAACCACUCCUAUGGUGACACUUGUCACCUUUUAAUAAAUACUUACCUACCUUGUCUCUCUUAUACCAAUCCACUUAGCACCCUCUACUUAUCUCUUAACACCCGGUAAAUUAAUUCCAAUAUUCAAAACUUAACCUAGUUGGCCGAAAUUUUCCGAACUUUUCGCACUAGUGGGUCCCACGUCCGGUAUACACUCUUAAUUUUCCAAAACCUAUUCGAUACUAGAAAAAUCAUCCAAAAACUAUAUCUGCUCAUUAAAAAUAUCUAGAAAAUUUCCCUACUAAAGAAAAAGCAGAAAACAAGCCAUUAAAUAAAUAAAACCCUAGAAAAAAAAUGAGAAAAUUUCGGGUUCUCACAGUAUACACGGUAGAUAUAUCAUUCAAAGUUCAUAGUCAAGAAUUUCUUUUGUUAUAUAGUGGAAUAAUGAAAAACCUUGAAGUCUUGAAACACUUUUGCCUAAAAAGAAAUAAAAAGCAAUGAAACACGUUUGACAAGGUUCUGAAAAAAAGAAUUAAAUCCACUUUGCACCUUUGAACUUCUAUCACUUUAAUAAGGUUAACUUACACUUAAUAGCUAAAUCAAUCUUGGCUUUUGAUUUUUGUGCGUAUAAAUGGUUUGAAUGAAAUAGGAUUACAUUUCUAAGAGUUAGGUAGAGCAUAAAAAGUUUUAAGAGAGAAUUAAAUGCCAAUGGGUGGUCACCUAUCAAAAUAGGUUUGUAUAGAAUGGUAUACUCAGCAAAUAUAUCAUUCAAAGUUGAUAGUCAAGAAUUUCAUCUACUGUAAAAAUAAUAAAAAGCUCAAACGUUGACUUUCCUGAUAAUAUGAUGCUCCAUCCAAUCCACAUAUGUUUAUCUACGAUUCAGCAGUAAAUUUGAUGAAGAGCUCAAAAGUUGACUUUCCUGAUAACAUGGUACUCCAUUCUUCCCGUUUUAUAAGGACUUAACUAACCAUUCUGUGGCCAAACCAUUAUCCAUCUUGACCAUCUAAAUGGCGAAUUGCACUUUUAGUUUAAUGCUCAAUAAAACAGAAGUUCUUAACCAUGUUAAGAAAAAAUAGAUGAAAAGGGCUUUUGUCACCUUUUAUUAGUUGUGGUGGUUAAAUAGGAGAAGGAUUACAUUUUCUUAAACUAAGUAAAAGAUUAUUUUACAUAAAGCAAGUUGGAUGCACAUCAUAUGUAAAAUAAAAAUAUGAAAAAUAAAGACUACCGUACAUUUAGACUUGGUAGCAUAUCAAAAAAAAAUUUUUUAAUGACAGUGUAUAAUGAUUUAUGUAUGCAACAAAAUGAAACUUCUCAUUUUCAGACCAGAAAUAUUUCUUUUGAAGUAAUCUCAGUCGGACAAGGACGUACCAAGCGGGGCCGAGAAAGAAAAGCCCCUCCACACCUAAAAAAAUUGUUAUGAAAAUUAAGUAGGACAAUAAUCUUUUAACAAUAAUUGUUACUUUACCACCAACAUAUAUAACUUACUUAGUUCCUGACCCCUUCAAUUACAUUUAGACAAAUCUUCCAUGACAAAUCAACUUUUACCUCUUUCUGCUAGUAUAGAGUUUCGUUGCAUUUGUGUACGAUAUAUAUGACUUAAAAUUACAAUUAAGUAAACACUAUACCAAAAGGAAACAGAGGACCACCAAAAGAAAGUUUCAACCAAUAUUAGAUACUAUUUAUACUAUAUUGGCCUGAAUAAAAAAAUAGAGUAUUAGUCAAAAAUGAACACCGAAAAUCACAAUUUUUUUAUUCGUAGAUGUGUAGCCUUUACAUUUUAUUCUUUCCAGAGUGAUUGGUAAUGAUGAAUUACAAGAAUAGUGGAAGAAUGAUUAUAAAGAUACAAGAUGCAUAUAUGAUAGAGUCAAAGCAAGGUAAAUGAUAAGUGCUUGAUUUGCAUAUUUGUAAGUGGUUAUUUAUGUGCAUUUUAGUGUAUUUUCAUUUAAGUUGAAGUUGAAUAACUAGAUUUUUAGUUAAGUUUUGCAUUUUGUGGUUAAGUGAGAAAACUCACAUUUCUAUGGACUUAAGUGCGGAAAUUUCAUGUUUUUUUUAUAGGUUUUGAUAAUUCAAUCAUCAAUUGAAGGGAAGUGAGGAGAUGCUUGCAUGAUUGCUGAUGAUUUAAUGUGGAAAUCAUGUGACAUGAAGGACCAAAGGAAGAAAUACACUCAAGAAAUACACUCAGUUGAUUGAGUUAGACCACAAGAUUGAUCAUGGAGUAUCCAGUUGGUGAAGAUUGGGCUACAAUAUUGGUUUAAGAGAAUUUUCAGAUUGAUUAUGGGUGGAAAAACAGAGAUUGCAGAAUCCUGUCCGUUGAGUUGUGAUUAUUAAAAUCACAAAGUGCAUUGUUAAUAGGUUGAUAUCAAAUUGUGCGAUGAGAACAGUCUAUCCGGAAACAUGGAUUAUUUUAAUGAGUCAAAAUAAAUCGAGCGAUCAGAUAAAUUUGUCUAGGAGUGUGGAGUAUUGCAGCAAAAAAAACCUUUGAAGAUGAAGAAUUCAAAUUGAUGUUAACAAAAUUUACAAAGGAGAUUGUUGUUCGUGAUUGCAAUGAACGUAAUUCAAUAGAGAGCUUGAUUUAAGGAAAGCAAUAUUGGCAUACUAAAUCAAGCCUAAAAAAAUAUAAGUUUCUAUAUUGUUAUUUGGUAGUGUUUUAGUCAAAUCAAGUUUUUAGUAAUUUUGUUGAAGUCAAGUUAUAGUAGUUUUAGUGUUUAGGAAGUUUUAUUUUAUUAAAAAAUUUCUUGCAGUUGUAAAACUUGUUUACCAAAUCAUCUAAUCUAUAAAUAAAGAGUCCUACUAUUAUGAUUAGUUGAAAAGAGUAAAAUUUAAGAGUCUUGUUAUUAUGUGUAACAAGUUAUCUAGUCUAUAAAUAAGAAGUCCUAUUAUUAUGGUUAGUUGAAAAGAGUGAAAUUUGAGAGUCUUGUUAUUAUAUAUAAUUAACGAUAUAUUGUUGAUAUUUAUUCCUCUUUCUCCUACACAUACUUGUAUGUGUGUAAGUUAUCUCCCCAUAUAUAUAUAUAUAUAUAUAUAUAUAUAUAUAUAUAUAUGAGUUUUUAUCAAAUAUAUAUCGUAUAAUUUUUUGGUUAAUUUUUUACUUCUACAAAAUUCAACGUGUUAAAGCAAAGUAGCCAACAUCUUGAAUCUAUCAAGUCAAUUACCAAAUUAUGCAGAAACAAAGGAUAAUUAAACUGCAAAUAGAACAUUUUAAUUUUUGUAUCUAAUGCAAAACGGUAUGCCUCUAUUGACAAAUUAUGUUUGAUAUGAAUUUAAAAUUAAGGGAGAAUUGUUCAAAACGUCCCUCACAUUUUGCAAAAUAACUUUUUUCGUCCCUCACUUUUAAAAAUAUAAUUUUACGUCCGUUACAAAUUCAUAUUGGUCAAAUUUGGUCCCUACUUAGGUUUCCGACUAGUUUUUGGUCGGAAUUCACCACGUGCCUUGCACGUGAUCAUAUUUUAAGGGCAAAAUUGUCAAAUGAAAUUUUAUAUAAUUUGAUUCAUAAUCUCUCACAUUUCAUAAAAUAAAAAUUUUCCCUUACAUUUCACAAAAUGAAUUUUUUCAUCAUUCACAUUUUUUAAAAUGAAUUUUUUCAUCUUUUAUUGAUCAUGUGUGUGCAAAAUUUUUCUUAAAUCCAUGUAUAUAUCUAUUUGAUUUCACUUGAACAGUACGAAUAGCAGAUGAAAUCAAAUAGAGAUAUAUUACAUACUAUUCGUACUGCUCAAGUGAAAUCAAAUAGAUAUAUACAUGUGUUUAAAAAAAAUGUUAGUUUUUCACUUAUAUUCAUUUUCUUUUACUCGAAAUUUGAAAAUAAAGAUGACAUUUAAUCCUAAAUAUUAUCGAGUGUUUAUAUCGAAUUAAAUUUGGAUAGAAAAAGUAAACAAAAGAAAAGCAUGACAAAAAGAAAUAAGUGAUUGGCACUUUCAAAUUAAGACAAUCACAAAGCAAGUAAUUCAACUGUUGGUCUUAAAAAUGUCGAGUAGAAAUUUCAGAUUUAAACUGAAAUUUGUUAGCACAAUUAUAGAAUUCGAGUUAGAACCUAUUAAUUAGAUGACCUUAUUAUACAACUCAAUAAAUAAAUUAUCACCAAAAGAGAAAGGUCACAAAUAUUGAAUAGGUUCAAAUGAUGAAAUCAUAUAAAUAUAUACGUGGGUUUCAAACAAAAUUAUUAGUUUUAAACCCCUAUAUACAUCUAUUGAAUAGCAUGUGUAUAGCUAUAAUUAGCAUGUUUAGAUGAAAUCCAAUAGAAAUAAAUUACAUGUUAUUCAUACUGUUCAGGUAAAAUCAAAUAGACAUAUACGUGGGUUUAUAGAAAAAAGCUAUUCGUACACAUGAUCAAUGAGGGAUGAAAAAAAUUCAUUUUGAAAAAUGUGAGGGAUGGAAAAAUUCAUUUUUUGAAAUAUGAGGAACGAAACAAUUCAUUUUGUAAAAUGUUAGGGACGAAAAAAUUCAUUUUGUGAAAUGUGAGAGACAAUGAAUCAAAUUAUGGAAAAAUUUGAUUUAAAAUUUUGCCCUCAAAAAAUGAUCACAUGCAAGUCAUGUGGUGGAUUCUGGCCAAAAACUAGUCGGAAACCUACGUAGAGAUCAAAUUUGGUCAAUGUGAAUUUGGAAGGGAUAUAAAAUUACACUUUUAAAAGUGAGGGACAAAAAAAGUCAUUUUGUAAAAUGUAAAGGACGUUUUGAACGAUUUUCUCUAAAAUUAACCUAACAAGUUCAGAUUUCAAGAAUUAGAGGUCUUGGAUUUUAAUUCUCAUACCUUUUCCCCGCUUCUUACGUUCCACCCCUUCCUCUGAUGGGGCAAAAAAAAAAACCGAUAGUUAAGGUUCAAAAGGUUCUAGUCUCGUCUUCCUUUUCAUUUAAAAAACUAGGGCAGAUGUCAAUGAGAGGCAAAAUUACAUAUCUGCCAAAGGCAAGAGUUGCUACUAAUUACUACGUGCUAUAACCCUUAUUCAAUGGUGAAAUUUUGAGAGUUUAAGAUUAUAUGAAUAAAAAAAUUUUACUAUCUUGCUUAAGACGUUCAAAAUUUUCUAACACGCUUUUAUUUCUACAGCACUUGGUAUAACAGAUAAUGCUCUUUGUGCCCUUAUUCGCCCCAAAUAAACAUUUGCAGGUCCACUCAAAUUUUUGUUUGAAUAGGAAGUUAUUUGAAAUAUUUAUUUGAAAAAAUUAAUAUAGCAUUUUUUGUGAUGUGAUGUAUGUGAGAUAGGUAUUGGAAAUUGUGUGUAUGAUGCAAACAAAGCAAAAAUUGAAAUUUUUAUCUAAAAUUUUUAUUUGAAAAUUACUACAGCAUUAUUGUGUUCUUAUGCACUCGUUAGACAGAUUCAUAGUUAAAGCGGAGUUUUUUAAUCUUUAUUAUUAUUAAGCUAAGUUGACUAAACACAUGGAAUUGGUAGUUGUUCACAAGGAAAACUAAGAAAUAAGAAUUGAUAGGAAAGGACGUUGAGAAGACUAAUGACAUCUUGGUCAAAUUGAUGGAAAAGGUUGAGAUGGAAGUCUGAAAAGCUAAAAGGCUGAAGAUCGACUAAAAAGCUUUUGAAUCCCACAUCGGUCUUGGGGGAUGGGUUUGGAUAGAUAAGUCCUCUGGACGUCUUCAAAAGUUACCGACUUUUGAAGAUUGCUCGGGAAUUUAGAUUUAUUUGCCGAAUUUUUACUUUCGUAAGAAAAUGUCAGAAGACUAAAAAGCUUCGAAGUUGAGAUGGGAGACUAAAAAGCUGAAGUCUUCCCACUGUGUUUUAGGUGCGGGGCUCCUUGCCUAUUCUAAUAUUCGAUUGAGUCAAUAAUGCAGUUUAAAUUGGACUUUUCGAAAUCAUGUCCGCAAAUGACAUCCAAUGAAUAAUGUAGGUAACAAACGUUAAAUAAAAAGGUAUCAAUUUUGAGGAGAAAUGCCAUUCCUAGUGCUAAUAAAUACAACCAAUCACUUCGGUUUUGGCAGACAAUAUCAAUUUCAGCUAUCUAGGUUUUCAUUUUUUAGAUAUCAAAAGCCAAAAGAAGCAAGAAAGAGAAUUAUAUUUAGUAUUGAUUUCUAAAUCAAGCAACCAUUGGUACCUGAAAGAGUCAAUUUACUCUCUGGUUGUUAGUUCAGAGCGAUUAAUUUAGCAAAUAAGCGAAAAUCUUGAACCGGUCAAACCAUUAUUAAAUUGACAAAAAAGAAAAAUGAAUAUUUUUUUCCUGGUUAUUAAAAUUGUUCAUAAGUGCUAUCUUCUCUGUAUUUUUUCCUAUGUUUCAACUAAUUACAUGGAGAUUAUUGAUAGUCAUGCUAGUAGUUGUACUAUGGUACUUCAAAAUUUUUCUUCUGCCAUUUUCAUUUUCAUUAUGAGCCUAACUAGGGAAACCAGUAAAUUAGCAGUUUUAAUCGGCAAUUAUCUUAGAAAAGCGUGGUACUUCUAAUUGAUCAGAUUCUAAGAGUGUGUUUGAUAAAACUGAAGGCUGAAAACUAAAAAUUGAGAACCAAAGUUUGAAUCCAUUAAGUUACUGAAUUAUUAAGUAUUAAAUUUGAUACAUUUGAAUAUAUAUCAUAAUAAGUGAUAAGUAAAUAGUUUAUCAUCUAUUUUUGGAAGCAAGUUUUGUUUAAUAUUAAUUAAUUCAGAUGUUCAAUUUUUAGUUAUUAAGUGCAUUUAAAUAUGUUAAAAUCUGAAUCUAUUAAAUUUAAAUGUUGAAUUGGGUUAUCAAACAGGGCGUAAGUACAAAAACUUUAUCAAAUUCAACCUCCGGAAUCUAAUCCUAGUAGUUAGUAACUAACACCAUAAGCAAAAGUAAAGCUUGAUUUUUUCACCAAUCAGCUACACCCCAUAUCCUACCUUUUAAAAUCAAUUCUUUACUUCAGUAAUUUCUUCAUGCUAAAUCUCUAUUUAACUUGAGAAUGAAUAUAAAAUAUUGUAUCAUUAGAUAAAAUUUCUUUUUUGUUAUUGUGGUUUGUCCUAAAUGUUAUCCACUAUUUGUCCUAAAUGUUAGGCUAAAUCCUUAUUUGAUUCGAUAAUGAAAAAACAAAUUAUUUUCUAUUAUUUGAACUUUGAUUUUCUAAUGGGUGCCUAGUAGUAACUCGUUAGUAUAUUUAAAUUACACAUAACUUAUUAUAUGAAUACAUAUAUUUACCGUUACUACAAUCCUAGCAUUUCGAGGCUUUCCCGAAUUAAUUAUAGUCUUGUAAAAAUAUAAACACUUAUAACGAGAGUAUGUAACCGUUAGUCAAAUCCUUUGGACUUUGCAGUUGAUUAAUUAGUACGUCACCGUCUUCAACUCCGCAAACCUUUAAAGGUGAGGAUUACGAGAAGAAAGAAAGGAUGAAUUGUUAAAUAUUACUUUGAACAAUCAACACUGAUCAAUACGUGAACGACUCAACACUGAUAUCUUGAAGACUGCCUGAUUGAGGACUUUGUACUUCAUUGGUACAAUAUAACUUUCACUAUCCAAGUUUCUAGAUGCUGAUCCGAGAACAAAUGAUGUAAAAGAGAAUAUUUAAAGGAACCAAGCAACAAUUAAGAACAGAAAGGUCAAAGCCAUGCUUUUAAAAUCAAAACGCAGCCAGAAAGAAUUAUAUGAUCUCUUAAUGUAUGCGUAAAUGAUUAAUGUUUUAAAGCAAAUAGACUUGAAGCAAUAAUUUAUAUUGCUAGUUGACUUUCAAUAUAAUUUCUACUAGUCUGAGGCUGCGCUACGCACAGGGUGAGCAUAUGUGACCCGUGUUAAUAGUAUGUUUGUCUGAAAAUAUUUUGUAAAGUUUGCUUUGUAAGUAUUGAUGUUGGAAAUAAUUUUAUAAUAUGUAAAAUAAUUGUGAGCUAGUUAUUUUUUAUUAAAUUAGGAUAAUUGGAGAGAAUUGUUGGUAGGUUACUGUAUAAAAUGUAGUUUAAUGUUAAUAAAAAUAUAGCAUAUAUGUGCUGAAGUAGCAGAAUAUGAGUAUAGUAUUGAACAGUAAAAGUGUAAUUUUUAUGGUUAUUAUUUUAUCUUGCAAGAACUUUUACAAGUUCAUCAUAAAAAAUGUGCAUCCGAUAUUCGUUCAUUCAUAAAUGAGAAAUUAUGAGAAUAUAGCAUGGACUAAUAACAUGGUAUCGUAGCAUUUUUUUCCAACCAAAGCUUCGAAAAUUAUCUUCAACUUUAAUGUCCCAGCUUGUGUGUUGGCAAUGAAAGAUGAUUAUGCUGUUUUUGUUUGGCAAUACAUGAGCAGCAUCAUUGGGUUAGAGUUCCGCAGAAUAAAAUAGAUGAUUAAAGUAAACUUGUGUGAUUUUUUUUUUCAUAUCAAAAUCCAAACAAAACUAGGGUUGUUUGAAAGGACAAUCAGCAUUUAAUGCUAGAGGAAAAGCAACAGUGUGAAUGGAAAACAAAAAAACGCAAACUCAAAAUGAGAAGAGGUUAGACGUAAAAAGAAGUGCCACACCAACUGCCUUGCCAAACCCUCUAUUCAUAGGAGAAAUUCUUCCAUGUGAAAGCCUUCGAACGAAUAGUAUUUGAAUGGAAAUGGCUGCUACGAAUUUGACUAAUAAAACAUACAACUCAAUAGUUGGGCUAUAUGCUAGGAUGCUCAAGAGGUAAAAAAAAAAAAUGUCCAUGUAGCUCUCAAAAUUUGACAGCACCAUAAAUGAUUUCACAUGGAUGUCAAAGACAUAUUUUAACACUUUUAUUAUUUAUUUUUUCCCAUCCUCCCGGAUGGAGUUCUUAUUAAGAUAGUCGAAUGAACCAGAAGUACAUAAAGAAACAGAGACCACCACGUACGUAUAUGGUCUGAAAUAAAACUAAAUAUCUGUUAUUGGCUUUCUUAAUUAUUGGUUUUCACUUUAUUAUUCAAACUUCCCAUCCUCCUCAG